AUGUACCGCGCGCACAUACCGGUUCUGAGUGUGCCGUGCACGCCCGCCUGAGGACUGCUUGCUAUGUCUGCUUGGCC
rnacentral:sRNA from 2 species